ACUUUAAUUGAAGAGUUUGAUCAUGGCUCAGAUUGAACGCUGGCGGCAGGCCUAACACAUGCAAGUCGAGCGGUAACAGGAAUUAGCUUGCUAAUUUGCUGACGAGCGGCGGAC
rnacentral:rRNA from 1 species